rnacentral:lncRNA from 1 species
GUGUGGACAGCCUACACCAAGGGAAGAGUCAGGGGAGAAGGAACACAAGACUCCGGAAGCAUGCCAGCGUAUAAAACCAACUGCACAAACAAGCCAGAAACUGAACCCUACCCGGAAUCCCCUGGUGUAUGAAGGGAGCCUAGCUCUGGCUGACUCUGCUUGUGUUCACAGACACUUUGCCUCAUUGGUUCGUGCCUCAGCUUCCAAUCUGGACAUGGAGCACAAUAACAGUGGGCCCACUGCUCUCCGAAUUCCUGCGCGCACUUGAAGGGAGUGUCUGGUGCAGGCAUGCAGGGAGGAAGAAUGACUCUGAGCUUGACCAUUCAACUUCGAAACUUUAACAUCAAUGGAUCAGCACACACUGGUGUACGGUCUGCUAUGCAUGCAGCCCUGUGCUAGGCAAAAGAAGUAUCAGACCAGGAACUGACAGCCUCACUGCAACAGGAAGAGAGGCUUCACACAAUAAGCGUUUCAUUCAACCAGGCUGGACCUGUGCUUAUUGAGUUGAACAUCACUGAGCACAAAAUGCAAGCCAGACACCAUAAGAGCUGUAAGGAUGAUAAAGAUGUCUUUCUACCCUCGAGAGCUCUAAGUGUGGUCAGGAGAGAAACACAUGCAAAGAUUAUGCUGGCUGGAAGGAAAUGCUGGAAUGAAGGUGGAAGGUACAUCCAGAAUGUUCUGGGGGUGAGGAAUAGCGAAUGAUGGGUUCUGACUUAGAACAUGAAGGGAAGGUAUUAAGAAAGAGGUGAUAUUAAGCAUUUAUUGAGCAUCUCUACUUUUUUUGUGUAUGUGACCUUGUUUGGAAAUACAAUAUCUCUUCUUGAUGCUGGCAAAAAAAAAAAAAAAAAA